ensembl:lncRNA
GACGGAGCCAUUGAUCUGAGAUUUUUCUGUAGCUGUGACAAGGGAAGAUUGGAAUUUUAGAGAGGUGUGUGCCUUCGAACCAGACCAGGCCGGGAGGAGAGGCCGCCUGGCCGGUGACCUUGACCAUCACUCCAGCCAAAUGCCUCAGUUUCUUCCCUGGAAAACAGGAUGCAGCAGGACCCAGAUCGGUUGGACGGGAGCUAGAGGUGGUUAACGGGACCAGGGCCUCAUCUCCCCAGGGUGCCAGUGUUCCUGGAGUUUCUGAUAUGUUGGUGGGUUCCUGAUUUCUGUAAUAAAUGACACAUUUAGUCUCA